rnacentral:rRNA from 1 species
GAUGAACGCUGGCGGCAUGCCUAACACAUGCCAGUCGAUCGGUAAGGCUCUUCGGAGUACACGAGAGGCGGACGGCUGAGUAACGCGUAGGAACACACCCUGCAGUGAGGGAUAAGACACCGAAAGGUGUUCUAAUACCGCAUACGGUCUUCGGAUUAAAGCAUUUAUGCGCUGAAGGAGUGGCCUGCGUCAUAUUAGAUAGUUGGUGAGGUAAUGGCUCACCAAGUCGAUGAUGUGUAGCUGGUCUGAGAGGAUGAUCAGCCAGACUGGAACUGAGACACGGUCCAGACUCCGACGGGAGGCAGCAGUGAGGAAUAUUUCACAAUGAGCGAAAGCUUGAUGGAGCAAUGCCGCGUGCAGGAUGAAGGCCCUCGGGUUGUAAACUGCUUUUAUAAGAGAAGAUUAUGACGGUAACUUAUGAAUAAGGGACGGCUAACUACGUG